rnacentral:rRNA from 1 species
UGCCAGACUCCUACGGGAGGCAGCAGUGGGGAAUAUUGCACAAUGGGGGAAACCCUGAUGCAGCGACGCCGCGUGAGCGAUGAAGUAUUUCGGUAUGUAAAGCUCUAUCAGCAGGGAAGAAAAUGACGGUACCUGACUAAGAAGCCCCGGCUAACUACGUGCCAGCAGCCGCGGUAAUACGUAGGGGGCAAGCGUUAUCCGGAUUUACUGGGUGUAAAGGGAGCGUAGACGGUCCUGCAAGCCAGAUGUGAAAGCCCGGGGCCCAACCCCGGGACUGCUCUGGAAACUGCGUCGCUGGAGUACGGGAGGGGCAGGCGGAAUUCCUGGUGUAGCGGUGAAAUGCGUAGAUAUCAGGAGGAACACCGGCGGCGAAGGCGGCCUGCUGGACCGUGACUGACGUUGAGGCUCGAGAGCGUGGGGAGCAAACAGGAUUAGAUACCCGGGUA